CCCGGGCCUUGUACACACCGCCCGUCACACCACGAAAGCCGUGUGUACCAGAAGUCGCUGGACCAACCCUUCUGGGAGGUAGGCGCCUAAGGUAUGCGGGUAAUUGGGGUGAAGUCGUAACAAAGGUACC
rnacentral:rRNA from 1 species